UGGGGUGGUUGGGUCAUUGAUGGGGUCAUUGAUGAGGUCAUUGGGUCAUUGAUGGGGUCGUUGGGUCGUUGGUGGGGUAUUUGGGUCGUUGAUGGGGUCGUAGGGUCAUUGAUGGGGUCGUUGGGUCAUUGAUGGGGUGGUUGGGUCAUUGAUGGGGUCAUUGAUGAGGUCAUAGAGUUGUUGAUGGGGUCAUUGGGUCGUUGGUGGGGUAUUUGGGUCGUUGAUGGGGUCGUAGGGUCAUUGAUGGGGUCGUUGAUGGGGUGGUUGGGUCAUUAAUGGGGUCGUUGGGUCUUUGAUGGGGUGGUUGGGUCAUUGAUGGGGUCGUGGGUCAUUGAUGGGCUCGUUGGGUCGUUGAUGGGGUCGUUGAUGAGGUCAUAGGGUUGUUGAUGGGGUCAUUGGGUCAUUGAUGGGGUUGUUGGGUCAUUGAUGGGGUGGUUGAGUCAUUGAUGGGGUCGUGGGUCAUUGACGGGCUCGUUGGGUCGUUGAUGGGGUCGUUGAUGAGGUCAUUGGGUCAUUGAUGGGGUCAUUGGGUCUUUGGUGGGGUCGUUGGGUCAUUGAUGGGGUCGUUGGGUCAUUGAUGGGGUCAUUGGGUCUUUGAUGGGUUGGUUGGGUCAUUGAUGGGGUCAUUGAUUGGGUCGUUGGGUCGCUGAUGGGGUGGUUGGGUCAUUAAUGGGGUCGUUGAUGGGGUCAUUGGGUCAUUGAUGGGGUCGUUGAUGGGGUCGUUGGGUCGUUGAUGGGGUCGUUGAUGGGGUCGUUGGGUCGUUGAUGGGGUCAUUGAUGGGGUAAUUGGGUUGUUGAUGGAGUAAUUAGGUCGUUGAUGGGGUCACUGAUGAAGUAAUUAGGUCAGUGAUGGGGUUAAGUUGGGUCAUUAAGGGGUCAGUUGGGUCAUUAAGGGGUCGACUGGGUCAUUGAUGAGAUCGCUGAUGAGCUCCUGGGGUCGUUGAUGUGGUCGCUGGGUCGUUAAUGGGGUCGUCGGGUUGUUAAUGGGGUGGUUGGGUCAUUAAUGGGGUCAUGGGGUCGUUAAUGGGGUCGUUGAUGGGGUCGUUGGGUCCUUAAUGGGGUCAUCGGGUUGUUAAUGGGGUGGUUGGGUCAUUAAUGGGGUCAUGGGGUCGUUAAUGGGGUCGUUGAUGAGGUCGUUGGGUUGUUAAUGGGUGGUGGGGUCGUUAGCGGGGUGGUGGGGUCGUUAGCGGGGUGGUGGGGUGGGACAUGCAGUCAUUGGAUGGGUGCCGGGCACGUUGACAGCUGAUUGGCUGCUCGAGCUGGCGGGUGAGUGCCUGGGAGGUGGCUGAGUCACGAUUGGCCGGGUGCUUGGAGGGGCAGUUGGCUGAUUGGCUGGUUAGCUGGGGGGGGCAGCUGAUUGGCCGGUUGGGUCAGCGGGUGAUUGGCUGGGAGGUUGGGUAGUCAGGGGGUUGGUUGGGCAGGUGAUGAGUCAUGUGGGUGGGUAGCUAGCUGAUUGGUUGGUUAGUUGGGUGGGUGAUGAGACGGAUAGGUAGUUAGUUGGGUGAUUGGCUGGUUCGUUAGCUCCGCGACGGGUCAAUUAGCCGAGCAAUGGGUUGAUUAGUUGGGCUGUUAGCUGAUCAGCUGGGCGAUGGGUUGGUUGGCUGGCUGGUUAACGGGUUAGUUAGGUGGCCAGUUAGCUGGUUGGAUGGAUGGCAGUUAGGUGAGAGUGGUUAGUUAGCUCGUUAGUUGGCUGGUCAGCUGGUUAAUUAGCUGGCUGGGUGGGCAGUGGUUAGCUGGUUGGUUGCUGAGCUGCUCGGAUGGGCGGCUGGUUGGCUGGUUGAGUGACUAGUUAGCUGGUUGGCUGAGCGGUUAGCUGGUUGGGUGGGUGGGUGGUUAGCUGGUUGGGUGGACGGGUAGGUCAUUAGAUGACUGGUUAACUAGCUGUUUGGGUGGGUGGUUAGCUGGUUGGGUGGUUAGCUGGUUGGGUGGUUGGGUGGUUGGUUGUUUAACCGGGUGGGUGGUUAGCUGGUUGGGUGGUUGGUUAGCUGGCUGGCUGGGUGGUGGUUAGCUGGUUGGAUGAGUAGUUAGUGGGUUAGUCAGGCAGGUAAUGGCGUUGCCUCGGAUGCGCGGUGGGAAUGGGCUGGAGCCGCUCCUGCCCCCUCACGGACCCCCACCAUGCGACCCACCUCCGGGGCACCUUCACCCCCACGGGGGUGGGACAACCCCACCCCACCCC